CUAAGCUGGAACUGCCGGGGGCUCAGGCAACCCCGGACAGUUCAAGAGUUAGUAUGCCUUGUGCAUACAUACCAGCCCAAGAUCAUCUUCAUCACUGAAACUAGGCAAUGUGAGAAUAAAGUAAAAGCACUAAAGUGGCGGUUAGGCUUGAGGCACUGUUUGACACAUGAUGGGAAGGGUAAAGGUCACUAG
rnacentral:rRNA from 1 species